CAGUCGCCGCGGUAAUACAGAGGGUGCGAGCGUUAAUCGGAUUUACUGGGCGUAAAGCGUGCGUAGGCGGCUUCUUAAGUCGGAUGUGAAAUCCCUGAGCUUAACUUAGGAAUUGCAUUCGAUACUGGGAAGCUAGAGUAUGGGAGAGGAUGGUAGAAUUCCAGGUGUAGCGGUGAAAUGCGUAGAGAUCUGGAGGAAUACCGAUGGCGAAGGCAGCCAUCUGGCCUAAUACUGACGCUGAGGUACGAAAGCAUGGGGAGCAAACAGGAUUAGAUACCCGCGUAGUCCAUGUCUCUUAUAC
rnacentral:rRNA from 1 species